UUUCCGUAGGUGAACCUGCGGGAGGAUCAUUAUUGAAUAGGUUGAAGGACCGUCGCUGACCCGAAAGCUCGUGAACGCACCCUUGCCCUCACACACAUCCAUCUCACCCCUAUGUGCACCCCCGCGUGGCUCGCCCUGGGGCUUUUUCGGAGGGGGGCUUACGUUUUCACACAAAAUUUUUAUGGAGUGUAGAAGGUAUUUUUUGUUUUUGAGAGCACGCUAUCAAUACAACUUUCAACAACGGAUCUCUUGGCUCUC
rnacentral:misc_RNA from 1 species